rnacentral:rRNA from 1 species
UCAGGACGAACGCUGGCGGCGUGCUUAACACAUGCAAGUCGAGCGGAAAGGCCCUUCGGGGUACUCGAGCGGCGAACGGGUGAGUAACACGUGAGCAACCUGCCCUAGGCUUUGGGAUAACCCUCGGAAACGGGGGCUAAUACCGAAUAUGACUGCUGGCCGCAUGGCUGGUGGUGGAAAGUUUUUCGGCCUGGGAUGGGCUCGCGGCCUAUCAGCUUGUUGGUGGGGUAAUGGCCUACCAAGGCGACGACGGGUAGCCGGCCUGAGAGGGCGACCGGCCACACUGGGACUGAGACACGGCCCAGACUCCUACGGGAGGCAGCAGUGGGGAAUAUUGCACAAUGGGCGGAAGCCUGAUGCAGCGACGCCGCGUGAGGGAUGACGGCCUUCGGGUUGUAAACCUCUUUCAGCAGGGACGAAGCGUGAGUGACGGUACCUGCAGAAGAAGCACCGGCCAACUACGUGCCAGCAGCCGCGGUAAGACGUAGGGUGCGAGCGUUGUCCGGAUUUAUUGGGCGUAAAGAGCUCGUAGGCGGCUUGUCGCGUCGACUGUGAAAACCCGCAGCUCAACUGCGGGCCUGCAGUCGAUACGGGCAGGCUAGAGUUCGGUAGGGGAGACUGGAAUUCCUGGUGUAGCGGUGAAAUGCGCAGAUAUCAGGAGGAACACCGAUGGCGAAGGCAGGUCUCUGGGCCGAUACUGAC